GCAGGAUUUGGGGUGUGGGAUUUUGCUGCAGGGCUUUGGAUGCAGCACUUCGGGUGUGGGAUUUUGCUGCAGGGGUUUGGAUGCAGGGCUUUGGACGCAGGAUUUUGGGUGCAGGACUUUGACGGAGGAUUUUGGGUGUGGGAUUUUGCUGCAGGGCUUUGGUUGCAGGAUUUUGGAUGCAGGAUUUUGCAUGUGGGACUUCGCUGCAGGGCUUUGGUGCAGGACUUUGGCACCUGCUUUUGGCCCAGGAUUGCAGCGCAGGACUGCAACGCAGCGCUUUGGGUGCAGCGCUUCGGUGCAGAACGGGGUAUGGGAUUUGGGGUGCAGGGCUUUGCUGCAGGGUUUGAGUGUGGGAUUUCGGUGCAGGAUUUGGGCUGCAGGGCUUUGGUGCAGGAUUUGAGUGCAGGGCUUUGGGUGCAGGAGGUUGGCACAAGGCUUUGGCACAGGAUUUGGUGCAGGACUUUGAUUGCAGGAUUUUGGGUGCAGCACUUUGGUGCAGAACUGAGUAUGGGGCUUUGGGUGCAGGACUUCGGUGCAGGGCUUUGGGUGCACGACUUUGGGUGCAGGACUUUGAAUGCGGCACUUUGGUGCAGGACUUUGGGCGUGGGAUUUUGCAUCAGGGCUUUGGGUGCAGGACUUUGGUUGCAGGAUUUCGGUGCAGGAUUUGGGCUGCAGGGCUUUGGAUGCAGGACUUUGUUUGCAGGUCUUUGGUGCAGGGCUUUGGGUGCAGGGCUUUGUGUGCAGGACUUUGGAUGCAGGACUUCGGGUGCAGGAUUUUGGUGCAGGACUUUGGAUGCAGGACUUUGGUGCAGGGCUUUGGUGCAGGGCUUUGGUGCAGGAUUUCAGUGCAGGCUUUGGUGCAGGACUUUG
rnacentral:lncRNA from 1 species